rnacentral:misc_RNA from 1 species
GACGCAAUGUAUCAUACAAGAAAGUAGACAGAGGAUCAACCAAUGGAGCCAAACCAGAAACAUCCUCUGAGGAAGAUGGGAAAAAGUGAUCAAAGAGUUGGUGCUCAAGCUGACAAACCUGCAUUAGAUAUGCACAUNAGUCAAUGAUGGCAAGGCCUCUUUCUUGGCAAACUCAGAUAUUCGUUGAAGUACAAUGCCUUUUACCAAAGAAAGCCGCUGUUCACAGUACAAUUUGUGGCAUUCUUCAAGAAC